rnacentral:rRNA from 2 species
GCUAUACAUGCAGUCGACGAACUUUCUUACACCGAAUGCUUGCAUUCACCGUAAGAAGUUGAGUGGCGGACGGGUGAGUAACACGUGGGUAACCUGCCUAAAAGAAGGGGAUAACACUUGGAAACAGGUGCUAAUACCGUAUAUCUCUAAGGAUCGCAUGAUCCUUAGAUGAAAGAUGGUUCUGCUAUCGCUUUUAGAUGGACCCGCGGCGUAUUAACUAGUUGGUGGGGUAACGGCCUACCAAGGUGAUGAUACGUAGCCGAACUGAGAGGUUGAUCGGCCACAUUGGGACUGAGACACGGCCCAAACUCCUACGGGAGGCAGCAGUAGGGAAUCUUCCACAAUGGACGCAAGUCUGAUGGAGCAACGCCGCGUGAGUGAAGAAGGUCUUCGGAUCGUAAAACUCUGUUGUUAGAGAAGAACACGAGUGAGAGUAACUGUUCAUUCGAUGACGGUAUCUAACCAGCAAGUCACGGCUAACUACGUGCCAGCAGCCGCGGUAAUACGUAGGUGGCAAGCGUUGUCCGGAUUUAUUGGGCGUAAAGGGAACGCAGGCGGUCUUUUAAGUCUGAUGUGAAAGCCUUCGGCUUAACCGGAGUAGUGCAUUGGAAACUGGAAGACUUGAGUGCAGAAGAGGAGAGUGGAACUCCAUGUGUAGCGGUGAAAUGCGUAGAUAUAUGGAAGAACACCAGUGGCGAAAGCGGCUCUCUGGUCUGUAACUGACGCUGAGGUCGAAGCG